rnacentral:rRNA from 1 species
ACUCAAAUGAAUUGACGGGGGCCCGCACAAGCGGCGGAGCAUGUUGCUUAAUUCGAUGCAACGCGAAGAACCUUACCUAGGCUUGACAUGCACGGAAAUCUCGCAGAGAUGCGGGGUCCGUAAGGGCCGUGCACAGGUGGUGCAUGGUUGUCGUCAGCUCGUGUCGUGAGAUGUUGGGUUAAGUCCCGCAACGAGCGCAACCCUCGUUCUAUGUUGCCAGCACGUCAUGGUGGGGACUCAUAGGAGACUGCCGGGGUCAACUCGGAGGAAGGUGGGGAUGACGUCAAAUCAUCAUGCCCCUUAUGUCUAGGGCUGCAAACAUGCUACAAUGGCCGGUACAAAGGGCUGCGAUACCGCGAGGUGGAGCGAAUCCCAAAAAGCCGGUCUCAGUUCGGAUUGGGGUCUGCAACUCGACCCCAUGAAGUUGGAGUCGCUAGUAAUCGCAGAUCAGCAACGCUGCGGUGAAUACGUUCCCGGGCCUUGUACACACCGCCCGU